GAUGAACGCUGGCGGCGUGCCUAAUACAUGCAAGUCGAGCGAACAGAUAAGGAGCUUGCUCCUUUGACGUUAGCGGCGGACGGGUGAGUAACACGUGGGUAACCUACCUAUAAGACUGGGAUAACUUCGGGAAACCGGAGCUAAUACCGGAUAACAUUUGGAACCGCAUGGUUCUAAAGUGAAAGAUGGUUUUGCUAUCACUUAUAGAUGGACCCGCGCCGUAUUAGCUAGUUGGUAAGGUAACGGCUUACGAAGGCGACGAUACGUAGCCGACCUGAGAGGGUGAUCGGCCACACUGGAACUGAGACACGGUCCAGACUCCUACGGGAGGCAGCAGUAGGGAAUCUUCCGCAAUGGGCGAAAGCCUGACGGAGCAACGCCGCGUGAGUGAUGAAGGGUUUCGGCUCGUAAAACUCUGUUAUUAGGGAAGAACAAAUGUGUAAGUAACUGUGCACGUCUUGACGGUACCUAAUCAGAAAGCCACGGCUAACUACGUG
rnacentral:rRNA from 1 species